rnacentral:rRNA from 1 species
CCUACGGGAGGCAGCAGUCGAGAAUCAUUCACAAUGGGGGAAACCCUGAUGGUGCGACGCCGCGUGGGGGAAUGAAGGUCUUCGGAUUGUAAACUCCUUUCAUGUGGGAGCAAAUUAAAAAGAUAGUACCACAAGAGGAAGAGACGGCUAACUCUGUGCCAGCAGCCGCGGUAAUACAGAGGUCUCAAGCGUUGUUCGGAAUCACUGGGCGUAAAGCGUGCGUAGGCUGUUUCGUAAGUCGUGUGUGAAAGGCGCGGGCUCAACCCGCGGACGGCACAUGAUACUGGGAGACUAGAGUAAGGGAGGGGGAAGCGGAAUUCGCGGUGUAGCAGUGAAAUGCGUAGAUAUCGGGAGGAACACUCGUGGCGAAGGCGGGUUCCUGGACAUUAACUGACGCUGAGGCACGAAGGCCAGGGGAGCGAAAGGGAUUAGAUACCCGAGUAGUC